rnacentral:rRNA from 1 species
CUGACGAGCGGCGGACGGGUGAGUAAUGCAUAGGAAACUGCCCAGUAGUGGGGGAUAGCCCGGGGAAACCCGGAUUAAUACCGCGUACGCCCUUCGGGGGAAAGCAGGGGAUCUUCGGACCUUGCGCUAUUGGAUGUGCCUAUGUCGGAUUAGCUAGUUGGUGGGGUAAAGGCCUACCAAGGCGACGAUCCGUAGCUGGUCUGAGAGGAUGAUCAGCCACAUCGGGACUGAGACACGGCCCGAACUCCUACGGGAGGGCACGCAAGUGGGGAAUAUUGGACAAUGGGGGCAACCCUGAUCCAGCCAUUGCCGCGGUGUGUGAAGAAGUGGACUUUCGGGUUGUAAAGCAACUUUCCAGUGGAGGGAGGAAAAGCUCUGGCGACUAAUACUCGUAGGGCUUGAACGUUACUCCACAAGAAGAAGCACCGGGCUAAACUCCGUGCCAGCAGCGCGCGGUAAUACCGGAGGGGUGGCAAGCGUUAAUCGGAAAUUACUGGGCGUAAAGCGCGCGUAGGUGGUUUGAUAAGCGAGAUGUGAAAGCCCCGGGCUUAACCUGGGAACGGCAUUUCGAACUGUCAGGCUAGAGUAUGGUAGAGGGUAGUGGAAUUUCCUGUGUAGCGGUGAAAUGCGUAGAUAUAGGAAGGAACACCAGUGGCGAAGGCGGCUACCUGGACCAAUACUGACACUGAGGUGCGAAAGCGUGGGGAGCAAACAGGAUUAGAUACCCUGGUAGUCCACGCCGUAAACGAUGUCUACUAGCCGUUGGGACUCUUGAAGUCUUAGUGGCGCAGCUAACGCACUAAGUAGACCGCCUGGGGAGUACGGCCGCAAGGUUAAAACUCAAAUGAAUUUGACGGGGGCCCGCCACAAGCGGUGGAGCAUGUGGUUUAAUUCGACGCAACGGCGAAGAACCUUUACCUGGGCCUUGACAUGCAGAGAACUUUCCAGAGAUGGGAUUGGUGCCUUUCGGGAACCUCUGAACACAGGUGCUGCAUGGCCGUCGUCAGCUCGUGUCGUGGAGAUGUUGGGUUAAGUCCCGUAACGGAGCGCAACCCCUAUCCCUAGUUGCCUAGCAGUUCGGCUGGAGAACUCUAAGGGAGAACUGGCCGGUGACAAACCGGAGGAAGGUGGGGAUGAACGUCAGGUCAUCAUGGCCCUUACGGCCAGGGCUACACACGUGCUACAAUGGUGCGCACAGAGGGCUGCAAACCCGCGAGGGGGAGCCAAUCUCACAAAACGCAUCGUAGUCCGGAUCGCAGUCUGCAACUCGACUGCGUGAAGUCGGAAUCGCUAGUAAUCGUGAAUCAGAAUGUCACGGUGAAUACGUUCCCGGGCCUUGUACACACCGCCCGUCACACC